AUUGAACGCUGGCGGCAGGCCUAACACAUGCAAGUAGAGCGAGCGGCGCACGGGUGAGUAAUGUAUGGGGACUGCCCGAUAGAGGGGGAUAACUACUGGAAACGGUGGCUAAUACCGCAUACUAUCGGAUAACCCAUAUGGGAUUAGCUAGUAGGUGGGGAAAAGGCUCACCUAGGCGACGAUGUCUAGCUGGUCUGAGAGGAUGACCAUCCACCCUGGAACCAAGACACGGCCCAGCCUCCUACGGAGGAAACAGUAGGGAAUAUUGCAAAAUGGCCGCAGGCCUGAUGGAGCCAUGACGCGUGUAUAAAUAAGUCCUUAGGUUUAUAAAGUCCUUUCAGCGGGGAGGCGUUACCCGCAGAAGAAGCAACGGCUAACUCCGUGCCAGCAGCCGCGGUAAUAC
rnacentral:rRNA from 1 species